rnacentral:lncRNA from 1 species
AUGGACCUGCCUGUUUUCCACUGUGCUCCUCACCCCCUCCUGCACUGCAUCAUCCUGGAUCCACCCUGCCCAUGUUUGUGCCUGAGGCACGCUAAAGUAGUUCCCCGAGCAGCACAACUGAAGGAACUAGUUUUGCCAUGGAUCAUGUCUCAUGCCUGAGCACAACAUCCACCUGAAGCUUUUUUCCAUAGAUGAGAGAUUUUGCUGAUGUAUCUGGUAGCACCUCAGAAGACAAUCUGACAGACCAAGGAAGAGCUUGGAGUUUCCAGGCUUCAUGAUACCAAGACAGCUCACCGUAUGGACAGUACCAGAGCCAGAGUGUCUCUUUCUUAGUGUUUUAGCAUUUUUGAUAAAGUAGAAUAAGUUUUCCUUGUUGUGUAUUUAGACAGAAGUAAAGUUCAGGGAUCCAAGUGACAAAAUCCUUGUGUGUGUACUAAGUGUCUGAGUCCAAGUUGGUGUGAAUAUUGACUAUUACCUAAACAAAGGUCAAUGACAGAAAAUGAUUGAAAAAAAAGGUGAAGGAGGUAAAUAUAGCUUAACUAAAAUGUAUACAAUAUUAGAGUCACAAUGAAACAAAACUGUUGAAUGUAAACACCAUUUCAGGAUUAUAUUCAGCAUAUUCUAUUUUAGAAAUAGGUUUGAUUGGUUUCAUAUCAAAACCACUAUCUAGGCCUAAACGAAUGCUGAAAUUAAAUUUAUCCUGUAUUGGUUUGGUCUUAAUUUCCAUUAUAUUGCUUGAGGAGCAUAAUGCUAGUUUUAAUGAUUGAUA